GAUCCCCACCUCCGACCUUCUGGCUCCAAUCCACGCGAGGUGGCGGCGUGUGGCAAGGGAUGCAGGGACGCGAGGAGACGGCGCGGCUGGCGACGCCAGGACGCGAGGAGAUGGCGCGGCUGCUCACCGACAUCGACGCCGACGGCGACCUCCGCUGCAUUCUCGCCGGCAAAGAAGCCCUGGCAAUGUUUGAGAAGGCUUGCCAUUGCUUCGAUGAUCGCAAUGUGUGGACAAGUUCAGUGAUCGUCUGAUGGCAGCAUUGUGAUAUGGUUGUAAUGGUUGUGAUCUUCAAAAGAACUUACGCAACUUAAUUUUUAAAGUGAUCAAAACAAGGUUGUAAUGGUUUUUGAAAGACCUGGUUAUGUCUAUCAGCUCGUGAUAUGUUGUGGUGUCCUUUCUUUCUUUUUGCAAUCAUCCGGAUCAUCAUACAGAUGAAGGGCUUCAGCAUUUAUUCAUUAUUUAUAAAUGAACAGAAAACUUAUGAUAUGCUGAAUGGCCUGUGAUAUGUUGAAUUUUUCUAUACAGCAAGUUUUCUUUUUGUAAUCUG